rnacentral:lncRNA from 1 species
GAUGGAGCUAGGGUCUUUAUCAAUAGGACCGUUGAGGCUGGCUUAAAGAGAAACACAGAAUCGCAAAGUUAACCUUUUUACUCGAGGCAUUGGAUGGCUAAAGGCAUACAAACUAGAGACCAUCUCCAACUUUCGAACUCCAUCAUAAGGACCACUACACUGAAAUGAAAGUCUGUAAUUCCUUCAAAAAAUAAUCUUCCCCAUCUAUUUUUCUUGAAAAUCAAAUUUCGCAAAAUAUGCACUUAUAUUUUCCUGAAGUCGAUCGAUCUUAAUUAAUACCUUAAAGUAUAUGCUUCUUUUUUUUUUUGCCUAUAAUGUUUCUUAAGUAGUGUUGAACUGUUGAUUAUCUAUACUGGCUAGCUGCAUUAUGGUCGAUCAAACACUUGAGUACGUUCUCUUUGAGUUCGAA